AUUCUACUAGAUUAUAACACACAUAGGAGUUCUGCUUUUCCACUUUCUUGGCAAACAUUAAAAGUCAGGCAAAGGAAACCAGGGGGCAGAUCAGAUGACCAAUGCACUGAAGACAAUCCAGUCCAAACAGUUUCCAAACAGUGUGAGCUGGCUUAACUCACACCAGCAAAUACCAGGGAACCUUCCAGACUUGUCUUGCUUGGCCCAGCUGUAGAAACAUCCCUUACAUCUGGGGACAGGCAGAGAGGAGCCGUGUAGCCACAGUGCAGGGCAGGCAUCUGGCCUGACCAGGCAUCCUGCGGCCUUCCUCCUCUGGUGCCCAGCUGGACACGUGACUGCCACAGCUGCCCUUGCUCUGGCGAGGAGAGAGGCAGGACCCACCGGGCUCUCAACCUCAAUGUUUCAGUCAUCGUAUUCUACACAAACAUCUCUCCAAAGACAAACCCCAGCUCCAUCUUCCUGUGGAUAGAUAGGAACUACCCUUCUCCACAUCCUUAGAACUCUGGCGAGCUCUUCAUGAGGCCCCCUGUGCUUCCAGAGACAACUCAGUGAGAAAUGGACCCCCUUCUCUCUCUGGCCCUUUGGGGGGAAAUGUGAAGGAAGACCAAGAUGACUCUCGGCAGUUAGACGCCACCGAUGCGACUCUGGACGGCGCCUCUUCUCGAGGCCUCCAAGUCUCCCUCCACGUGAUCAGACACCUUUGAUCCUAACUGGUCAGAAUCGAGUCUUUGGAAAACUAGGGAGGAACCAGCCCCACACAGGAGCCCAUCCCAUGCAGCAAUAUGACCAAAAGCCCUGAAUACAAGAAGCACAUUGGAAGCCACUAAAGAGCUUAAAACUAUAACUUUAACCAGAGGUUAAAACUGUAUCAUGAAAGACAUAUAUGACAAUGAGCUCUAAGCACCACGGUGGAAGACAUUAGGGCACACUUCAGGUCUGAGCAGGGUCUGGGCACACAGAAAGCUUCAAAUCAGCACAAAUGGCACCUGGUGGCUGCCCCUCAGUAGACACUGGAGGGAAACGUCAGGGGAAGAAGCAAAUUACCUAUAAGCCAACAUCAUCCCUGAGACUCUUGACUCUCCAAAAGACAGUCAUACUGGUGAUCCUAUGGAGUCGUUAUUUGUCCCAUUCAAGUAGGAGCAUCUUAGAGACUAUGGAUAAAAGCCAAGUGAAGACUGGGUAUAGGCUGGCUGCUUGCACCACUCUGCCCUAAGGAAAACUGAUCUCUCCCAUAGAUGGGGGCAUCCUCUGGCCACCUGCUCACCUCAGCAUGUAUUUGCUUUAGUAUUCAGCUUUUGUGAUUUUAAGACACGUGAUUGUUGU